CACCUACUCCCUCCGUUCUAAAUUACUCGUCUCAGAAAUGGAUGUAUUUAGAACUAAAAUACAUCUAGAUACAUCCAUUUCUGCGACGAGUAAUUCGGAACGGAGGGAAUAGGAG
rnacentral:pre_miRNA from 1 species